CACGUAGGGCGCAAGCGUUGUCCGGAAUUAUUGGGCGUAAAGAGCUCGUAGGCGGUCUGUUGCGUCCGCUGUGAAAACCCGGGGCUUAACCCCUGGCUUGCAGUGGAUACGGACAGACUAGAGGUAGGUAGGGGAGAAUGGAAUUCCCGGUGUAGCGGUGAAAUGCGCAGAUAUCGGGAGGAACACCGGUGGCGAAGGCGGUUCUCUGGGCCUUACCUGACGCUGAGGCAGCGAAAGCGUGGGGAGCGAACAGG
rnacentral:rRNA from 1 species